CGCGGCCUAUCAGCUUGUUGGUGAGGUAAUGGCUCACCAAGGCGACGACGGGUAGCCGGCCUGAGAGGGCGACCGGCCACACUGGGACUGAGACACGGCCCAGACUCCUACGGGAGGCAGCAGUGGGGAAUAUUGCACAAUGGGCGAAAGCCUGAUGCAGCGACGCCGCGUGAGGGAUGACGGCCUUCGGGUUGUAAACCUCUUUCAGCAGGAAAGAAGCGAAAGUGACGGUACCUGCAGAAGAAGCGCCGGCUAACUACGUGCCUGCAGCCGCGGUAAUACGUAGGGCGCAAGCGUUGUCCGGAAUUAUUGGGCGUAAAGAGCUCGUAGGCGGCUUGUCACGUCGGGUGUGAAAGCCCGGGGCUUAACCCCGGGUCCGCAUUCGAUACGGGCUAGCUAGAGUGUGGUAGGGGAGAUCGGAAUUCCUGGUGUAGCGGUGAAAUGCGCAGAUAUCAGGAGGAACACCGGUGGCGAAGGCGGAUCUCUGGGCCAUUACUGACGCUGAGGAGCGAAAGCGUGGGGAGCGAACAGGAUUAGAUACCCUGGUAGUCCACGCCGUAAACGGUGGGAACUAGGUGUUGGCGACAUUCCACGUCGUCGGUGCCGCAGCUAACGCAUUAAGUUCCCCGCCUGGGGAGUACGG
rnacentral:rRNA from 1 species